CCUACGGGAGGCAGCAGUGAGGAAUAUUGGUCAAUGGACGAGAGUCUGAACCAGCCAAGUAGCGUGAAGGAUGACUGCCCUAUGGGUUGUAAACUUUUUUUAUAUGGGAAUAAAAUGUUCCACGUGUGGGAUUUUGUCUGUACCAUAUGAAUAAGGAUCGGCUAACUCCGUGCCAGCAGCCGCGGUAAUACGGAGGAUCCGAGCGUUAUCCGGAUUUAUUGGGUUUAAAGGGAGCGUAGGUGGAUUGUUAAGUCAGUUGUGAAAGUUUGCGGCUCAACCGUAAAAUUGCAGUUGAAACUGGCAGUCUUGAGUACAGUAGGGGUGGGCGGAAUUCGUGGUGUAGCGGUGAAAUGCUUAGAUAUCACGAAGAACUCCGAUUGCGAAGGCAGUUCACUGGACUGCAACUGACACUGAGGCUCGAAAGUGUGGGUAUCAAACAGGAUUAGAUACCCCAGUAGUC
rnacentral:rRNA from 1 species